AGCAGCCGCGGUAAUUCCAGCUCCAAUAGCGUAUAUUAAAGUUGCUGCAGUUAAAAAGCUCGUAGUUGAAUUUCGGGAUCAAUAUGUUGGUCGUGCCUCGGUACGUACUAGCUUAUUGGUUUCUCCCUUCUGACGAACCAUGAUGUCAUUUAUUUGGUGUUAUGGGAAAUCAGGACUGUUACUUUGAAAAAAUUAGAGUGUUUAAAGCAGGCUCACGCUUGAAUACAUUAGCAUGGAAUAAUGAAAUAGGACGUUUGAUUCUAUUUUGUUGGUUUCUAGGAUCGACGUAAUGAUUAAUAGGGAUAGUUGGGGGCAUUAGUAUUCAAUUGUCAGAGGUGAAAUUCUUGGAUUUAUUGAAGACUAACUACCGCGAAAGCAUUUGCCAAGGAUGUUUUCAUUAAUCAAGAACGAAAGUUAGGGGAUCGAAGACGAUCAGAUACCGUCGUAGUCUUAACCAUAAACUAUGCCGACUAGGGAUCGGAUGAUGUUAAUUUUUUAAUGACUCAUUCGGCGCCUUACG
rnacentral:misc_RNA from 1 species